rnacentral:rRNA from 1 species
UCUGGCGGCCAUAGCGAUUUGGACCCACCCCUUCCCAUCUCGAACAGGGCCGUGAAACGAAUCUGCGCCAAUGAUAGUGUGCUUCUCGCAUGCGAAAGUAGGUCACCGCCAGGC